rnacentral:rRNA from 1 species
AACGAACGCUGGCGGCAUGCCUAACACAUGCAAGUCGAACGAGACCUUCGGGUCUAGUGGCGCACGGGUGCGUAACGCGUGGGAACCUGCCCUUAGGUUCGGAAUAACUCCCCGAAAGGGGUGCUAAUACCGGAUAAUGUCUUCGGACCAAAGAUUUAUCGCCUUUGGAUGGGCCCGCGUUUGAUUAGCUAGUUGGUAGGGUAAAAGCCUACCAAGGCGACGAUCCAUAGCUGGUCUGAGAGGAUGAUCAGCCACACUGGGACUGAGACACGGCCCAGACUCCUACGGGAGGCAGCAGUGGGGAAUCUUGCACAAUGGGCGAAAGCCUGAUCCAGCAAUGCCGCGUGAGUGAUGAAGGCCUUAGGGUUGUAAAGCUCUUUUACCCGGGAUGAUAAUGACAGUACCGGGAGAAUAAGCUCCGGCUAACUCCGUG